AUUGAACGCUGGCGGCAUGCUUUACACAUGCAAGUCGAACGGCAGCGCGGGGCAACCUGGCGGCGAGUGGCGAACGGGUGAGUAAUACAUCGGAACGUACCCAGAAGUGGGGGAUAACGUAGCGAAAGUUACGCUAAUACCGCAUACGUUCUACGGAAGAAAGUGGGGGAUCGCAAGACCUCAUGCUUUUGGAGCGGCCGAUGUCUGAUUAGCUAGUUGGUAGGGUAAAGGCCUACCAAGGCGACGAUCAGUAGCUGGUCUGAGAGGACGACCAGCCACACUGGGACUGAGACACGGCCCAGACUCCUACGGGAGGCAGCAGUGGGGAAUUUUGGACAAUGGGCGCAAGCCUGAUCCAGCAAUGCCGCGUGAGUGAAGAAGGCCUUCGGGUUGUAAGGCUCUUUUGUCAGGGAAGAAACGGCUGAGGAUAAUACCUUUGGCUAAUGACGGUACCUGAAGAAUAAGCACCGGCUAACUACGUGCCAGCAGCCGCCGUAA
rnacentral:rRNA from 1 species